rnacentral:rRNA from 1 species
GACGAACGCUGGCGGCGUGCUUAACACAUGCAAGUCGAACGGAAAGGCCCUGCUUUUGUGGGGUGCCCGCGUGGCGAACGGGUGUGUAACACGUGAGUCUCCUGCCCUUGACUUUGGGAUAACUUCAGGCAACUGGGGCUACUACCGGAUAGGAGCUCCUGCUGCUUGGUGGGGGUUGGACAGUAUCGGCGGUUGGGGAUGGACUCGCGGCUUAUCAGCUUGUUGGUUGGGUACUGGCUUACCCAGGCUUUGACGGGUAGCCGGCAUGAGAGGGGAGCCGGGCACAAUGGUACUGAGAGACGGAGCAGUGGGGAACGGUGGACAGUAGGCGAGAGUAUGGCACAAUGAGCGGAAGUCUGAUGCGAAGGCGCCCCGUGCGUGAUGACGGCCUUCUGGUGAUAAACCGCAGUCGCCUGUGACGUAGCUGGUGUGACGGUAAUGAGUGAAGAAGCACCGGCUAACUACGUG